CGUAGAAGGCCCUCAUUGUUCCCCAUUAUGUUUGGGUUAGUAAAAAUGUGUAGAGUGGCUCUAUUUGCCCACAACAAGCAUUUUUCACCAUUCGGAAUGACGAAAGAAUCCAUAUGUUCUUCUGGAAUAUGAACACAGAAAUUCUGUACAGUUUGAACUCUUAUUAUGGUGACGGAAAAAUUACAGUCAUGGUCUUGAAUUGGAAUCUAAUUUUUCUGGUCUCGGUCUCUGACUUCUCCGUCCCCCUCCUAGUCUCAGUCUUGACUCAGUCUUGUCCCCCCUCCGGUCUUGGUCUUGACUCGGACUGGAUUCUCUCCGGACUUGGUCUUGAAUCGGUCUCGCUUUAGGUGGUCUCGAACACAAUACUGGAAGUGGGUGUCCUAUACUCAAGGCCAAUUUUCUAGAGUGCUGCUUGAUCUAAAAGUCUAUCUGGGAGAAAAUCUGCCCCGUGGUUUACCAGUAACAAUGGCUAUUUAUAGUGGUGUUUGCUUUACUUCAGCUAUAUACUGUAUUGUCAUUUUCAGCUGCACAGUUAGUACUGUAAGCCCCGCCCUGCAACCAGUUAACAAUGGAGGAGCUCCUCUUUUGUGUGAGUGUGCGUCAGACGAAGGACAACUAGAGCUCUCUUUCGUGUCUUUUCUAUCGCUUGGCACUCUGUUGGUAGAGGAUGUGUGCACAGUGCCGCGCUACAACUCCGUAUGGCAAGGAUCAUCAACGAGAUUCAACCGUGGACUGAUUUUGUUCUUGAGCGGAUGGUCGGGGGGCCAGAACAUAAUUGCAAAUCAUUUGUAGACUGCAAAUUGGCUGCAAGAAGCCCAAACAGAUAUAAUAUUUGAUUAAAACAUACAAAUGUCAAACCUUC